UUAAGGGCGCACGGUGGAUGCCUUGGCACUAGAAGCCGACGAAGGACGUUACUAACGACGAUAUGCUUUGGGUAGCUGUAAGUAAGCGUUGAUCCAGAGAUUUCCGAAUGGGGGAACCCAGCACGAGUUAUGUCGUGUUAUCGACAAGUGAAUUCAUAGCUUGUCAGAAGGCAGACCCGGAGAACUGAAACAUCUUAGUACCCGGAGGAAGAGAAAGAAAAAUCGAUUCCCUGAGUAGCGGCGAGCGAAACGGGAAGAGCCCAAACCAAUAAGCUUGCUUAUUGGGGUUGUAGGACACUCUAUACGGAGUUACAAAGGAAUAUAUUAGACGAAUCAUCUGGAAAGUUGAAUCAAAGAAGGUAAUAAUCCUGUAGUUGAAAAUAUAUUCUCUCUUGAGUGGAUCCUGAGUACGACGGAGCACGUGAAAUUCCGUCGGAAUCUGGGAGGACCAUCUCCUAAGGCUAAAUACUCUCUAGUGACCGAUAGUGAACCAGUACCGUGAGGGAAAGGUGAAAAGUACCCCGGAAGGGGAGUGAAAGAGAACUUGAAACCGUGUGCUUACAAGUAGUCAGAGCCCGUUAAUGGGUGAUGGCGUGCCUUUUGUAGAAUGAACCGGCGAGUUACGAUCUGAUGCAAGGUUAAGCAGGAAAUGUGGAGCCGUAGCGAAAGCGAGUCUGAAUAGGGCGUUGAGUAUUUGGUCGUAGACCCGAAACCAGGUGAUCUACCCAUGGUCAGGUUGAAGUUCAGGUAACACUGAAUGGAGGACCGAACCGACUUACGUUGAAAAGUGAGCGGAUGAACUGUGGGUAGCGGAGAAAUUCCAAUCGAACUUGGAGAUAGCUGGUUCUCUCCGAAAUAGCUUUAGGGCUAGCCUCAAGUGAUGAUUAUUGGAGGUAGAGCACUGUUUGGACGAGGGGCCCCUCUCGGGUUACCGAAUUCAGACAAACUCCGAAUGCCAAUUAAUUUAACUUGGGAGUCAGAACAUGGGUGAUAAGGUCCGUGUUCGAAAGGGAAACAGCCCAGACCACCAGCUAAGGUCCCAAAAUAUAUGUUAAGUGGAAAAGGAUGUGGCGUUGCCCAGACAACUAGGAUGUUGGCUUAGAAGCAGCCAUCAUUUAAAGAGUGCGUAAUAGCUCACUAGUCGAGUGACACUGCGCCGAAAAUGUACCGGGGCUAAACAUAUUACCGAAGCUGUGGAUUGUCCGUAGGACAAUGGUAGGAGAGCGUUCUAAGGGCGUUGAAGCAUGAUCGCAAGGACAUGUGGAGCGCUUAGAAGUGAGAAUGCCGGUGUGAGUAGCGAAAGACGGGUGAGAAUCCCGUCCACCGAUUGACUAAGGUUUCCAGAGGAAGGCUCGUCCGCUCUGGGUUAGUCGGGUCCUAAGCUGAGGCCGACAGGCGUAGGCGAUGGAUAACAGGUUGAUAUUCCUGUACCACCUAGCAUCGUUUUAAUCGAUGGGGGGACGCAGUAGGAUAGGCGAAGCGUACGAUUGGAUUGUACGUCCAAGCAGUGAGAUUGAGUGUUAGGCAAAUCCGGCACUCUUAAGAUUGAGCUGUGAUGGGGAGAGGAAAUUGUUUCCUCGAGUCGUUGAUUUCACACUGCCGAGAAAAGCCUCUAGAUAGAUAAUAGGUGCCCGUACCGCAAACCGACACAGGUAGUCAAGAUGAGAAUUCUAAGGUGAGCGAGCGAACUCUCGUUAAGGAACUCGGCAAAAUGACCCCGUAACUUCGGGAGAAGGGGUGCUCUUUAGGGUGCAAGCCCAGAAGAGCCGCAGUGAAUAGGCCCAAGCGACUGUUUAUCAAAAACACAGGUCUCUGCUAAACCGUAAGGUGAUGUAUAGGGGCUGACGCCUGCCCGGUGCUGGAAGGUUAAGAGGAGUGGUUAGCUUCUGCGAAGCUACGAAUCGAAGCCCCAGUAAACGGCGGCCGUAACUAUAACGGUCCUAAGGUAGCGAAAUUCCUUGUCGGGUAAGUUCCGACCCGCACGAAAGGCGUAACGAUUUGGGCACUGUCUCAACGAGAGACUCGGUGAAAUCAUAGUACCUGUGAAGAUGCAGGUUACCCGCGACAGGACGGAAAGACCCCGUGGAGCUUUACUGUAGCCUGAUAUUGAAAUUCGGCACAGCUUGUACAGGAUAGGUAGGAGCCUUUGAAACGUGAGCGCUAGCUUACGUGGAGGCGCUGGUGGGAUACUACCCUAGCUGUGUUGGCUUUCUAACCCGCACCACUUAUCGUGGUGGGAGACAGUGUCAGGCGGGCAGUUUGACUGGGGCGGUCGCCUCCUAAAAGGUAACGGAGGCGCUCAAAGGUUCCCUCAGAAUGGUUGGAAAUCAUUCAUAGAGUGUAAAGGCAUAAGGGAGCUUGACUGCGAGACCUACAAGUCGAGCAGGGUCGAAAGACGGACUUAGUGAUCCGGUGGUUCCGCAUGGAAGGGCCAUCGCUCAACGGAUAAAAGCUACCCCGGGGAUAACAGGCUUAUCUCCCCCAAGAGUUCACAUCGACGGGGAGGUUUGGCACCUCGAUGUCGGCUCAUCGCAUCCUGGGGCUGUAGUCGGUCCCAAGGGUUGGGCUGUUCGCCCAUUAAAGCGGUACGCGAGCUGGGUUCAGAACGUCGUGAGACAGUUCGGUCCCUAUCCGUCGUGGGCGUAGGAAAUUUGAGAGGAGCUGUCCUUAGUACGAGAGGACCGGGAUGGACAUACCUCUGGUGUACCAGUUGUCGUGCCAACGGCAUAGCUGGGUAGCUAUGUAUGGACGGGAUAAGUGCUGAAAGCAUCUAAGCAUGAAGCCCCCCUCAAGAUGAGAUUUCCCAACUUCGGUUAUAAGAUCCCUCAAAGAUGAUGAGGUUAAUAGGUUCGAGGUGGAAGCGUGGUGACACGUGGAGCUGACGAAUACUAAUCGAUCGAAGACUUAAUC
rnacentral:rRNA from 1 species